rnacentral:rRNA from 1 species
CGGCGGACGGGUGAGUAACGCGUGGGUAACCUACCCCAAAGUCCGGGAUAACAGCGGGAAACCGCUGCUAAUACCGGAUGUCUUUACCUUGGGGCAUCUUGAGGUAAAGAAAGGUAACGCUUUGGGAUGGGCCCGCGUCCCAUUAGCUAGUUGGUGAGGUAACGGCUCACCAAGGCGACGAUGGGUAGCCGGCCUGAGAGGGUGGACGGCCACACUGGGACUGAGACACGGCCCAGACUCCUACGGGAGGCAGCAGUAGGGAAUAUUGCGCAAUGGACGGAAGUCUGACGCAGCGACGCCGCGUGAGCGAUGAAGGUCUUCGGAUCGUAAAGCUCUGUCCUCGGGGAAGAAGGUCUUCGGACUUGACGGUACCCAAGAAGAAAGCCCCGGCUAACUACGUGCCAGCAGCCGCGGUAAUACGUAGGGGGCGAGCGUUGUCCGGAAUUACUGGGCGUAAA